rnacentral:rRNA from 1 species
AACGAACGCUGGCGGCAUGCCUAACACAUGCAAGUCGAACGAGACCUUCGGGUCUAGUGGCGCACGGGUGCGUAACGCGUGGGAACCUGCCCUUAGGUUCGGAAUAACUCCCCGAAAGGGGUGCUAAUACCGGAUAAUGUCUUCGGACCAAAGAUUUAUCGCCUUUGGAUGGGCCUGCGUUGGAUUAGCUAGUUGGUAGGGUAAAAGCCUACCAAGGCGACGAUCCAUAGCUGGUCUGAGAGGAUGAGCAGCCACACUGGGACUGAGACACGGCCCAGACUCCUACGGGAGGCAGCAGUGGGGAAUAUUGGACAGUGGGCGAAAGCCUGAUCCAGCAAUGCCGCGUGAGUGAUGAAGGCCCUAGGGUUGUAAAGCUCUUUUACCCGGGAUGAUAAUGACAGUACCGGGAGAAUAAGCACCGGCUAACUCCGUG